rnacentral:rRNA from 1 species
GGACGGGUGAGUAACGCGUGGGCAACCUGCCUCAUACUGGGGGAUAACAGUUGGAAACGACUGUUAAUACCGCAUAAGCGCACAGUGUCGCAUGACACAGUGUGAAAAACUCCGGUGGUAUGAGAUGGGCCCGCGUCAGAUUAGCUAGUUGGUGAGGUAAAGGCCCACCAAGGCGACGAUCUGUAGCCGGACUGAGAGGUCGGACGGCCACAUUGGGACUGAGACACGGCCCAAACUCCUACGGGAGGCAGCAGUGGGGGAUAUUGCACAAUGGAGGAAACUCUGAUGCAGCGACGCCGCGUGAGUGAAGAAGUAUUUCGGUAUGUAAAGCUCUAUCAGCAGGGAAGAAAGGCUCGCAAGAGAGAUGACGGUACCUGACUAAGAAGCCCCGGCUAACUACGUGCCAGCAGCCGCGGUAAUACGUAGGGGGCAAGCGUUAUCCGGAUUUACUGGGUGUAAAGGGAGCGCAGACGGUUGUGCAAGUCUGAAGUGAAACCCCACCGCUCAACGGUGGGCUUGCUUUGGAAACUGUAUAACUAGAGUACUGGAGAGGUAAGCGGAAUUCCUAGUGUAGCGGUGAAAUGCGUAGAUAUUAGGAGGAACAUC